CCUACGGGAGGCAGCAGUGAGGAAUAUUGGUCAAUGGCCGGAAGGCUGAACCAGCCAAGCCGCGUGAAGGACGAAGGUGCCAAGCAUUGUAAACUUCUUUUGUCAAGGGACAAAAUCAGGCUCGAGAGCCUGACCGAGGGUACUUGAAGAAAAAGCAUCGGCUAACUCCGUGCCAGCAGCCGCGGUAAUACGGAGGAUGCGAGCGUUAUCCGGAUUUAUUGGGUUUAAAGGGUGCGUAGGCGGACUGUUAAGUCAGCGGUAAAAGCCCGGGGCUCAACCCAGGCGAGCCUUUGAAACUGGGAAACUUGAGUGCAGGAGAGGAGAGUGGAAUUCCUGGUGUAGCGGUGAAAUGCGUAGAUAUUAGGAGGAACACCAGUUGCGAAGGCGGCUCUCUGGACUGUAACUGACACUGAGGCACGAAAGCGUGGCGAGCAAACAGGAUUAGAUACCCUUGUAGUC
rnacentral:rRNA from 1 species